rnacentral:rRNA from 1 species
CGGGUGCUUGCACCUGGUGGCGAGUGGCGAACGGGUGAGUAAUACAUCGGAACAUGUCCUGUAGUGGGGGAUAGCCCGGCGAAAGCCGGAUUAAUACCGCAUACGAUCUACGGAUGAAAGCGGGGGACCUUCGGGCCUCGCGCUAUAGGGUUGGCCAAGGGCUGAAUUAGCUAGGUGGGGGGGAGAAAAGGCCUACACAAGGCGACACAACCAGUUAGCUGGUCUGAGAGGAGCCACCCAGCCACACAUGGGGGACUGAGACCACGGCCCCAGAUCUCCUACGGGAGGCACCCAGGGGGGAAUUUUGGACAAAUGGGCGAAAACCCUGAUCCCAGCAAUGCCGCGGUGUGUAAAGAAGGCCUUUCGGGUUGUAAAACCACUUUUGUCCGGAAAGGAAAUCCUUGGCUUCUAAUACAGUCGGGGGAUGACGGUACCGGAAGAAUAAGCACCGGCUAACUACGUGCCAGCAGCCGCGGUAAUACGUAGGGUGCGAGCGUUAAUCGGAAUUACUGGGCGUAAAGCGUGCGCAGGCGGUUUGCUAAGACCGAUGUGAAAUCCCCGGGCUCAACCUGGGAACUGCAUUGGUGACUGGCAGGCUAGAGUAUGGCAGAGGGGGGUAGAAUUCCACGUGUAGCAGUGAAAUGCGUAGAGAUGUGGAGGAAUACCGAUGGCGAAGGCAGCCCCCUGGGCCAAUACUGACGCUCAUGCACGAAAGCGUGGGGAGCAAACAGGAUUAGAUACCCUGGUAGUCCACGCCCUAAACGAUGUCAACUAGUUGUUGGGGAUUCAUUUCCUUAGUAACGUAGCUAACGCGUGAAGUUGACCGCCUGGGGAGUACGGUCGCAAGAUUAAAACUCAAAGGAAUUGACGGGGACCCGCACAAGCGGUGGAUGAUGUGGAUUAAUUCGAUGCAACGUGAAAAACCUUACCUACCCUUGACAUGGUCGGAAUCCCGCUGAGAGGUGGGAGUGCUCGAAAGAGAACCGGCGCACAGGGUGCUGCAUGGCUGUCGUCAGCUCGUGUCGUGGAAAUGUUGGGGUUAAGUCCCCGCAACGAAGCGCAACCCUUUGUCCUUUAGUUGCUACCGCAAGAGCACUUCUAAAGAGAACUGGCCGGUGGACAAAACCCGGAGGAAAGGUGGGGAGUGAACGCCAAGUCCUCAUGGCCCUUAUGGGUAGGGCUUCACACGUUAUACAAUGGUCGGAACAGAGGGUUGCCAACCCGCGAGGGGGAGCUAAUCCCAGAAAACCGAUCGUAGUCCGGAUUGCACUCUGCAACUCGAGUGCAUGAAGCUGGAAUCGCUAGUAAUCGCGGAUCAGCAUGCCGCGGUGAAUACGUUCCCGGGUCUUGUACACACCGCCCGUCACACCAUGGGAGUGGGUUUUACCAGAAGUGGC